rnacentral:rRNA from 1 species
AGUAAUACAUAAGUAACCUGCCCUAGACAGGGGGAUAACCAUUGGAAACGAUAGCUAAGACCGCAUAGGUACGGACACUGCAUGGUGACCGUAUUAAAAGUGCCUCAAAGCACUGGUAGAGGAUGGACUUAUGGCGCAUUAGCUGGUUGGCGGGGUAACGGCCCACCAAGGCGACGAUGCGUAGCCGACCUGAGAGGGUGACCGGCCACACUGGGACUGAGACACGGCCCAG